rnacentral:rRNA from 1 species
AACUCUAAGCGGUGGAUCACUCCGCUCAGGGUCGAUGAAGAACGCAACAAACUGUGCGUCAUCGUGUGAACUGCAGGACACAUGAACAUCACAUUUUGAACGCAUAUCCCAGUCCAGGCCGGUAUGGACAUUA